rnacentral:lncRNA from 1 species
AUGCUCAAAAUUCUCCAAGCCAGGCUUCAGCAGUACAUGAACUGUGAACUUCCAGAUGUUCAAGCUGGUUUUAGAAAAGGCAGAGGAACCAGAGAUCAAAUUGCCAACAUCCACUGGAUCAUGGAAAAAGCAAGAGAGUUCCAGAAAAACAUCUAUUUCUGCCUUAUUGACUAUGCCAAAGCCUUUGACUGUGUGGAUCACAAGAAACUGUGGAACAUUCUGAAAGAAAUGGGAAUACCAUACCACCUGUCCUGCCUCUUGAGAAACAUAUAUGCAGGUCAGGAAGCAACACUUAGAACUGGACAUGGAACAACAGACUGGUUCCAAAGAGGAAAAGGAGUAUGUCAAGGCUGUAUAUUGUCACCCUGCUUAUUUAACUUCUAUGCACAGUACAUCAUGAGAAACGCUGGACUGGAAGAAGCACAAGCUGGAAUCAAGAUUGCCGGGAGAAAUAUCAAUAACCUCAGAUAUGCAGAUGACACCACCCUUAUGGCAGAAAGUGAAGAGGAACUAGAAAGCCUCUUGAUGAAAGUGAAAGAGGAGAGUGAAAAAGUUGGCUUAAAGCUCAACAUUCAGAAAACUAAGAUCAUGGCAUCUGGUCCCAUCACUUCAUGGGAAAUAGUUGGGGAAACAGUGGAAACAGUGUCAGACUUUAUUUUUUUGGGCUCCAAAAUCACUGCAGAUGGUGAUUGCAGCCAUGAUGCUUACUCCUUGGAAAUUAAAAUGAUGCUUACUCCUUGGAAGAAAAGUUAUGACCAACUUAGCAUAUUCAAAAGCAGAGACAUUAUUUUGCCAACAAAGGUCCAUCUCGUCAAGGCUAUGGUUUUUCCUGUGGUCAUGUAUGGAUGUGAGAGUUGGACUGUGAAGAAGGCUGAGGGCCGAAGAAUUGAUGCUUUUGAACUAUGGUGUUGGAGAAGACUCUUGAGAGUCCCUUGGACUGCAAGGAGAUCCAAACAGUCCAUUCUAAAGGAGAUCAGCCCUGGGAUUUCUUUGGAAAGACUGGUGCUAAAGCUGAAACUCCAGUACUUUGGCCACCUCAUAAGAAGAGCUGACUCAUUAGAAAAGACUCUGAUGCUGGGAGGCAUUUGGGGGCAGGAGGAGGAGGGGACAACAGAGGAUGAGAUGGCUGGAUGA